rnacentral:rRNA from 1 species
GAGUGAACGCUAGCGGCGUGGUUAAGACAUGCAAGUCGAACGAUGAAGCCCAGCUUGCUGGGCGGAUUAGUGGCAUACGGGUGCGUAACACGUGAGCAACCUGCCUUGAAGUGGGGAAUAGCCCGGGGAAACCCGGAUUAAUACCGCAUGUGGUCUCUUUUCGCAUGAAAAGACGACUAAAGUUUGUAAUGACUCUUCAAGAGGGGCUCGCGGCCUAUCAGCUUGUUGGUGAGGUAAAGGCUCACCAAGGCAAAGACGGGUAGCUGGUCUGAGAGGAUGAUCAGCCACACUGGAACUGAGAUACGGUCCAGACACCUACGGGUGGCAGCAGUUUCGAAUCAUUCACAAUGGGGGAAACCCUGAUGGUGCAACGCCGCGUGGAGGAUGACGGCCUUCGGGUUGUAAACUCCUGUCACCAAGGAACAAACGGCAGGUUCAUAGCCUGUCCUGAGUUAACUUGGAGAGGAAGAGGUGGCUAACUCCGUGCCAGCAGCCGCGGUAAUACGGAGACCUCGAGCGUUACUCGGAUUCACUGGGCGUAAAGAGUAUGUAGGCGGUUUGGUAUGUCAGGUGUGAAAGCCCGAAGCUCAACUUCGGAAUUGCGCCUGAAACUACCGGACUUGAGGCCUGGAGAGGGGAGUGGAAUUCCUGGUGUAGCGGUGAAAUGCGUAGAUAUCAGGAGGAACACCAAUGGCGAAGGCAGCUCCCUGGACAGGUUCUGACGCUGAGAUACGAAAGCGUGGGUAGCGAAAGGGAUUAGAUACCCCUGUAGUCCACGCCGUAAACGUUGUACACUAGGUUUCGGAGGGCCUACCCUUUCGGAGCUCAAGCUAACGCGAUAAGUGUA